CUCGAAUCAGCAGGGAGGCCUGUGUGGCCACUGCUGAGUCAGACAGAGAGGAGGUUGGAAGAGAUGAGGUCAGAGGGAACUGACAGUCAGGUGGUGUGCUAAGAGCUGGCUGUAUCUGACUCAGCUUCAGGAAUUUGUCUUCCCAGGGUCAAUUUUUCUUAGUGGCUUCUUAAUUACUGAAGAAACAUCAGAACUAAAAUUAAUGAAUCUGAAGUGUCCUUUCAAGUUUGGGGGAGAAAUACUCGAACAAGGGGCCCCUCCCUUCAAACCCCACAGGUUCUAGCCCAGAAUACUGGCCAUUUUUGAGUUAUUCACCUCUGUUGGAAUUUGUAAGCAUUGAGCAAAAUUGUGAAUUUGCCUGUCGCUGACUCCAGGGAAGAGAUAAGUCAAUCAACUCUGAAGAAUCAAGAUUUCCAGAAGAUCUAAAGCCCCCUUGCCUUCCUCUUUCUCAGCUACCCAUCAAAUAAGAGGCCCCGUUGGAGAACCAGAAGGGACAUUCUCCAAGCUGUCUGAAAUCCCGGUUGGUACUCCAGGCUUCAACAACUUCAGCACAAUGAGAGACGGCAAAGAAUAUCCUGGCCUUUGACGACCCCCUGCCUUCUAACAUACCGAGGUUAAUCAGACCCAGGACAAUUUGGAAGGGGCUCUUCUGCCACAACUUGGGGAGUGGAGGUAGGGAAGGCCAUAGGAGCCCCAGCAGGUAGGCCACAUAGCCUGAGUUAUGGAAUCUAACUCUGGUCUGUCUUCCAAAUGUUUCUGGGGUGUCAGAUCUGUGGCAGCCUGAGGGGCAUAUUCUGAAGCCAUUUCCCUCCCAGAGAUCUCUGACUUCUUUCAGCUUUUUGAUGUUAUUACACUAAGAGAAUAUGAACACCUCCUUACAGCCAAUGCUGUAGUUAUAAAACAGUUCACCAAAGGACCUAUAUUUCCUUGAAAACAAAAAGACAAUGCAACAAGACAAAGCAUUUAAAAAAGAUCUUCAAAAGAGGCUUGAUAAUUGCAUCAUUUAAAGGACCUCAGGGAAGUCUCAAUGCUACAUAGGUCCUGGGACAAGGCACCUGAACUCCAUGCCUUGGUGAACUGCAUUUCUUUUAGCUUCUCUGCUUGGAAUCAUGAUAUCCCCAGUGUAUGCUGAAUUCUGAAGGCGGAUUAGCAUUUUUGGCUCUUCCCCGCUGGCAUCACCCUAUUUCCUUGGGGACCCCAGGCUCUCAGCUGUAGAAGACUCUCAGACAGACACACAUUGCCCCAACAUACUACCCCGCACACGUACUAAACUCUGAGGCUCCUGCGGAGUUGUGUGUUGUACUCCUCAGCUCCAGACCACUGUGUCCUGCCCUGGCCUCCACCCAGUCCUGAUGGAGGCCCCAACAUAGGUGCCUCAACCCACACAGGCCUCAGAGUUUGGCAAAGUGUCCCACGCACAAUAGCUUUUGAGUCAGUAGUGCCUGCCCACCCCCCGCCCCCACCUUCCCCACCAUCUGCAAUGUCUUGGAGCCUACUAAUGAACUAAUUAAUGUAUCUUACAUAUUCUUGAUAUGGUAAAUUCAUGGGCUCAGGGAAGCCUAUUUUGUAUUUUUUCUAAUUCGUGCUUCCCCUGGACAGUUUACCAAUACCCUGCUGCAGGCAUUUACACUUAAUGUCAUCAGGAGGCAGUGAAUAUAAAUGUGCAAUAAAUGUCCAGCUGUCCUUGAGUUCUGCACAAGCAGUACUUUAAAAGUAAAUAAUGAGCUAAAAGAACAAACUUAGAGGGUAAUUUCCGACCUCCUUCAUGUCUCUAACACCAUGAAGUUUCACUGUAUUGGUUGCAUCUUUUGGCAUUGUUCAUAUACUACGUGCCUGGAUUCUGUUUCUUGAACUUGUUGGGAAAUGGAAUCAUAUUGGGGAUGGCUCUGAGUUCCUCAUAACCAUAGCAUUAGUUUCAGAGUGUUCCCUAUAGUAAUAAUAAAAAAGCUUCAAAACAUGCUGAAAAUGUUUUAGAACAUGGUAGCUUCAAAGACAUUCAUUAAAAGGAUAGGCUGGUCUGCAUGCUGGCUAUUUUACUGCUUUUCUAAACUUGGGUGAACCCCUGGAGAAGAAGCCCCAAACAGGGGGUAGUUCCAGCAGCCCAGGAUGGAGUAAAGUGGACAAAUUACAGGUCUUCUGGAGACAAGUGGUCAAGAGAGCAUGGGUCACUGCUGAGCAGAGCUGGGAUCAGGCAGGUUGAAGGAAAGGCACAAGAAAAGGACACCUCUCUGUCUGCCAUAAUGCCAAAGUCAUGCUUCUGCUGCCUGGAACUUUCUGUCUGGCAGGAGAGGCUCAUAUUUCUUUUCUUUAAGACAGGAUGAUAAUACACAUUUGGUGAUACAAUUAAGAAACAUGAUAUUGGAAAGUUGCUGACCAAGUGCCACCUAGCAUUCUUUCUCCUGUAUUAGCCACAUGCCCAUUCCUCAUGGCUACUGCUAGCCACGUCCAAGAACCGGGGCCCCAGCCUGGCAGGGUAAGUGUGGCUCCAUGCUUUAAGUCAGAGAAUUUAGUAGACUAUGAUCUGUUACUGUGUCAAUCUGAAAGCUGAGGGCUCUGAAGGGUACGUGGUACCCAUUCUCUGACUCUCACUCCCAAAAGUCCUUUUCUCCCUGAGUCAACAUAUGGUUGGUUCCCAAGGCCCUUCCUAGGAAUUGGAAGCCAACAGUGGCACAAAGCAUUUAGGAGGCACACAACCACAAAUGUGUGAGGUUUGCCUUCCCGUAUUUUCUGGACCCAUGUUCAAGCAUGGAACUCUGUAGUUCAUAAAGGGUUUUACUCUUGCAGGAGUCAGCAAACUAUGGCCUGUGGGUGGAGGGCCAGAUGGGGCCAUGCUCAUUCAUUUACAUACUGUCUAAUGGUUGCUCAAAAUCACAGAGUUGAGUAACUGCGACAGACUGGAAGGCCCACACGGGCAAAAAAUGUACUAUCCUGACCUUCACAGAAACAGUUUGCAGGCCCCUGAUUUAGAGUAAGACCAGUUCUCCUGGGGGCAAUGGAUUGUCUUUGCUUUCAGCUUGACCAAUGCCUCUGGGUAGGGAUGGAGAGGGAGUCCAUCUUUCUAGUUGAUUCUGAUGAGAAGAACCAGGGUGCUCCACCUGGAAUGUGAGCCUCUGAUCUUCCGGGCAUCUGGCACGCCCAUUUCUUCCACAGAGCAGGAAUAGAAGCUCCUCCCAACAGGGGGUCUUGACUAUUUGAGACCACUGUAAAAGAAAAGUAAGAACAAGUGAUUCGUGUUUGUGUUUCCUGUAAAAUGAACAUGGUUAUCAACACUAUUAACCUGGUUUACCACUCACUUUGAUGCAGAUACAGCCGUGUUCAUGUUUCACAGCUUCGUGAAACAGGCCUGCGCCUUCAAUUGGAGGCAGUCCAAAUGACAAAAUUGCCAACCCUUUCUAUCUGCAGUGGCCCAGGAAUUAUCAAAUAACCUUAAUUCCUAUUAAACUCCUGCCUAUUUACCAUUACCUGAACUUUGAGGCAAAAUCUAAAUCCAAACCAUCACAGGUAAUCUCCAAUCUCACAUAUUUUUCCAAAAGAAUCAUGUGUUAGGAAAGGAUGAUUGAUAGCUCAAAAGUCACCAGUGCUGAUUCCUGUGUUAGCAACCAUAGCUGAGGUCAAUGCUUAGAACUGGUGUGGGAAGAUGUUCUCAAAACUGCAGCUUUGUGCCUUUGUGGUUAUGUAACAGCCUCCUCCAUACAGAGGAUUACCACAAAUUGGUGCUUCCUGCUGUUCUCUCAUGUUGACGAGGCAUUUUAUAUUCUGGAAGAAUAUUCUGGAGGGAGGAGGUUGGUGAAGAUUGGUAAAGUGGAGAAGACAGACAUUUUAACAAAAUAUUCGUAUUUGGUCUCUAACAUGAAAUCUGCAUAUUUUGUGGUAUAUUAAUUAAGUCAUUUUUGUAAGUUAUAAAUGAUACUAAUACAGUAAGUCCUCACUUAAUGUCAUCAAUAGGUUCUUGGAAUCUGUAGCUUUAAGCAAAACAACAUUCAGCAGGUUCAUAAAUAAUGUCACUUCCUUUAACGUUUUGUUAUAACAUUAAUGAGAAAAAAAUGCUUUUGUUAUAUGUCAUUUUGCUUAAAGUUAUAGUUUCCAAGAACCUAUCAAUGCCAUUAAGUGAGAACUUACUGUAUAAUAACAUUAUGUUAGAGUUUAGUGGGCUCCCAAAAGAUUUUCUCUCACCAGGUAGACAGUUCUCUCUUUUAGAGAUAAAAUAAUUGAACCUCACAGAGACUGUAUAACCAGUCAGAGUCCCACCACGUUCCCACCUACCAUUCACCACUAAAUCCUUAGUCUGGCUGCAAAAAACAGAAAAGAUUUAUUUUCUCAAAAGUCAACUUUUUUAGACUACAUUGAUCCUAAUAAGAGAAUUCAGAAAGCAACUCUUAGACUCAACUUUUUCUGCUUAUUGCCACCACCACACUCUCCCAGUCAUAUGACAAGAGUCAUUUGCAGUAGGAAGCAAAACCAGAAACACACUUGAGCAGCCUUUUUGUGUCCUUCCUCACCUCGCUCCCAUUGGGGGCCUGCAUGAUGGUGAGUGGCCACAUAAACAGUCCCUGCGUCUGCAGGAGUCCUUUUCGCCAUGGCUGCUGGAAUGACUCAUCCUUCUCUAUCUGUAGCCUAGGCUUUCCCCUUCUUAAUUUCCAUGAGGGAGCAGUCUUAGAUCAGAGCUUCCCCCAGGGGACAGGACCACGGUCCUCCCUAAAAGGUCCUGGAUCUGGUAUAAAUCUAACCAUGGGAGAAAACAGAAUUCAGUUAGAGACAACAUCAAGGGCAAACUUGAAGGGGAGCAAAAAUCACAAUAUGGGUGUGGGAACCGGACCACAGAGUUACAGUGGUCAUUUCUUCCCCACCACAUCUUCUUUGUGAAUUUUACCUUGCCCACUGCCCCAAGGGGCAACCAUGUGGCUCAUGGCCCUGGCCACCAAUAAUUGAACUGGGAGUAGACCCACUUUAGACAUGACCCAUUGUAACCAAUACAUCUUUAUCUAGAACUUGGAGUUGGGACACAGAAAGCCUGAGGGCAUUUGUUGUCUGUGAGUGCUAGACUCACAAGAUUCUGUGAGCUCAAGGACUGAGUUACACAGUCAUUUAAGGUCAUGUGCUAAGAGUAUGCUUGACUGGGGGGAGAGGAUGGAGCAGACACAAAGAUAACUGAGAGAAAGGGAGGAGGGAGGAAGAACAGCUCCAGACUCUAGCCCUUCAGUGAUCCAGGUGCAAUUCUUCAAACUGGGUUUCAUAGUAUUCCCUUAUCACUGUGCAAGUAAUUCCCAUUUACUCAAGUUAUUCUGAGUGGGUGUCUGGCCCUAGCAACUGAAUGCUCCCUGACCAUAAGAUGAAAUGGCUAGGGUGGAGCUGGGAGGCAGAGGCAGUGAGUGAGGGAGCUAGAAGGAUUUUUCCAGAGAAAGUAAAUCUUAGAGUCCAAGCAUGUGUAUGCUAUCCACACAUUCCAAAUUUUAGGAGACAGCCCUGUUUCAAAUGUGCCAGCUUGCCCAAAUUUCUGUUUAGGCAAUUGUGGUAUAUCUGUUUACAUAUAUAAUUUUAGCAUUGGGAAGGCCCUCCUAAGUAAGACACAAACCUGGAAACCAUAAAGACAAGACAAGAUUGACAGAUUAGACUACCUAGCCCUGAAUUUUUAAAUUGCCUUUGACAAAAGCCACUGUGAGCAAAAUUAAAAGUGAAGAGGCAGCUUGGGAUCUAAGUGACAGCUGUAGACCCCCUGCACACUACAGACUCCCUCCUGUUGCAUACCAGACCUCUGUACAGGUCCAGCCCUGGCUUUGUGGCUGUCACGACUACUGAAUAUGUCGAAACUGUUGGCAGCAAGAACAUGACCUCUUGCUGUCCCAGAAUGAGGAAAUGAAAGGGAAAAAAGAGGAAAUGGGAUGAAAUGAAAAAUGGAUGAGAACAACAUAGAGGGAGCAAGAAACAUUGAGAAAGAUGAAAAAAAUGAGCUGCUUAUCUCUCCUGUGGUUCUGGGCCCUCUCCUUUGUGCUACCCUAGUGAUGUGCUCUAUUAGUCCAUUCUUACAUUGCCAUAAAGAACUACCUGAAACUGGGUAAUUUAUAAAGAAAAGAUGUUUAAUCAGCUCAUGGUUCCUGUGGGCUAUAUAGGCUUCUGCUUCUGGGGGAGGCUUCAGGAAACUUACAAUCAUGGCAGAAGGUGAAGGGGAAAUAGGCCAUGACCAGCAAGAGAGGGGGCAAAGGAGAUGCUACACACUUUCAAACAACCAGAUUUCCUGAGUACUCCAUCAUGAGACAGCACUGGGGGAGUGGUGCUAAACCAUUAGAAACCACCCCUAUGAUCCAGUCACCUCCCUCCAAACCCCCACUCCAACACUCGGGAUCACAACGCAACAUGAGAUUUGGGUAGGGACACAGAGCCCAACCAUACCAUUCCACCCUUGGCCCUUCCCAAAUCUCAUAUCCUCUCACAUUGUAAAAUGCAAUCAUCACUUCUCAAUGGUCCCCCUCAUUCCAGAAUUAACUCAAAAGUCCAAGUCCAAAGUCUCAUCUGAGACAAGGCAAGUCUCUUCCACCUAUGAGCCUGUAAAAUCAAAAACAAAAGUUAGCUACUUCCAAGAUACAAUGGGGGUACAGCCAUUAGGUAAAUACUCCCUUUCCAGAAAGGAGAACUCAGACACAACAAAGAGGCUACAGGUCCCAUGCAAGUCCGAAACCCAGCAGGGCAGUCAUUAAAUCUUAAAGCUCCAAAAUAAUCUUCUUUGACUCUGUGUCUCACAUCCAGGCCACACAUCCAUGCAAGGAGUGAGCUCCCAAGGCCUUGGGCAGCUCUGCUUCUGUGGCUCUGCAGGGUACAUCCUCUGUGGCUCCUUUCAUGGACUGAUGUUGAGUGCCUGUGGCUUUUCCAGGUGCAUGGUGCAAGCUGUCAGUGGAUCUACCAUUCUGGGGUCUGGAGGAUGAUGACCUUCUUCUCACAGCUCCACUAGGCAGUGCCCCAGUGGGAACUCUGUGUGGGGGCUCCAACCCCACAUUUUCCCUUUGCACUGCCCUAUUAGAGAUUCUUCAUGAAUGGUCUGCACCUGCAGGAGACCCCUGCCUGGACAUCCAGGCCUUUCUAUACAUCGCCUGAAACCUAGGUGGAGGUUCCCAAGUCUCAACUCUUACCCUCUUUGUACUUGCAGGCUUAACAGCAUAUGGAAGCCACCAAGGCUUGUGGCUUGUACCCUCUGGAGCAGAAGUCUGAGAAGUAUCUGGGGCCCUUUUAGCCACAGCUGGAGCUGGAACAGGGCUGUUCUGAAGAUUUUCAACAUCUGAAAUUCACAAGAUCAUGGAGAUGAACUAAACCAUCAUGGAGAUGCAACAUAAACCAGAUGCAUCUAGCCCCUCAUGUUAGAGUUGAGAAAACAGAAACCCAGGGCUUGAGGACUCCCUUGAAAUCAUCAAGGUCCUGGUUGAUGACAAAAUCAGGACCAAGUUUCUGAUCCUCCCAAAUAUUCCUUCACUCCUCAGUGCUGCCUGUGAUGAGAAAGAUCAAAGCAUGCAUGCAAUUGUAAAUCAUGCCACAGAGGCAACAUGCAAUUAUUUAAGUACUAAUUAAUAGACUGUGUACCAAGUCAGCACUAAUCAAAUUUUUCAUGCCUUGACAGGGUUGUAGCUUGUCAGGAAUUUCUGAAGAUGAAAAAACUAUUUGUCUCAGGACAAAUCCUUCUCCUUCCAGUAAAUACAAGGAAAGGAGAAAGUGUAACCAGGGGUAUUUAAGCUCAGCCUCCUCCAGCAGCCAUCUGCUGUUGCUUUUUUUUUUUUUUUUAAUGUUACUGAGAUGUAAUUUAUGUACCAUAAAAUUCACCAUGUUAAGGUGUGCAGUAGUAUAUUCACAAGGUUGUAUAACCAUCACUACCCUCUACUUCUAGAACAGUCUCAUCAUCCUGUUGCUUUUUGAACGUCAGUAUUGUCAGCUCAAGUACAGCUUCACUCACAUGUGGCUCUCAGUUCGGGUAUAUUCUGUGCUAUCCCUCGUGUAGUGUUCAUCUUGACCUACAUGAUCAGAUGUCCCAAGUUCACUCUGUAUUUGAAGAGCUCUGUGUCUACUAAAGGUCUGAUUCCCUACUGUGGGCCAGCAGUAGGAAUGAGAUGGUCACUAAGCCUCAAAAUAAGCCUUAGCAAUGAGAAUCUAAAAAGCAAAGCUCAGCCACCAAGGCUAAUUUGCAGGGCAAAAAGAGGAGAAAAUUUCGUAAGCCAAGAGUGGGUAGAACUGAAAGUGGGAAGUGGGGCUGGUUUAAGGACUGUGGAGGGUUUUCCAAAAUGCACUCUCUCCUGCCUUAGAGCUCAUAUGCAUGCUGGAUCAUCCUCCACCCCAUCACAUCCCCCAUUUUCGCUUCAUCUAAGUCCCCUGGGAUGCUGGAGCACCCACUGCAGGAGGCACUUGAACUUCCCUAUCACAGUCCAUCUCACCUGUGCACACCAUGAUUACCUGCUGACUUGUCUGCAUUCCUGAAUAGACUGGAAGCUUCAAAAAGGAAGAAGCCCUGCCUUUUUGGUUACUUAUUCACCCUGCUUCUCAGCAUCCUCUGGCACUAUCUCAGUAAAGACUUCUUGAACAAGUUAUUAAUCUGGCCACAAACCCAAAUUUCUUUCUAUAUCCCUCUAAUGCUCAAAUUAAAGUUUGAGUGUGAGAAUGUA